CUCAGCUUGCUGGCACUAGUGGGUCUCGGUGCUUGUUCAGUCCUGCCUCUGUGGGUGACGGCAGGGUCAGAGAAAGAGAUGCUAAAGCACGCAGGAUGGAGAGCCCAAAAGCCAUCCUUGAAGCCUGGAAUCUCUCAAUGUCCCAUCCAGGGCCCUGACCAGGUUCCCCCGGGGAUCUGGAAAGGUCACAGAGGCCAGAGGCCAGAGGAGUCGGAAGUAUUGGUGCCACCUAUGGCCGAAAGAGAAUUUGGCAUCAUAACAGCAGUCACUCCUGGGCAAGCAGGGGACUUCCAGGGUGGGCUCAUCGCUCUUCGGGAAAGGAUGGUGAACUCAGUCAAGCACAUCGCUUCUGCUUUGUGCCAGAAGUAAUGAUUAAGAAUACUGGUCUGGACUCUGUCUCUUGACCAGUCUGUCAUGUGAAAGAUAAGUAACAUCAGCUUUUGCCUUUCACGGGUCAGUGGAACAGGGUGGGUGGAAGCCCUGGGGACUCAAGUUCCCCAGGAUGGUGCAUUCCAGCCUUCUCUUCCUAGGAACAAAUUAAUGCCUGGCCACACAAUAGUUUCCAGGCUCUGGGAUUACAAGGGAGUGAUCACAAGGGAGUCAAGACUCCCUCUUUCAAAAGGAAGGACUAGAAACGAAAAGGAAAGUGGCCAUCCUUGCCUCUUUUCCAAGUUUGUGGCCAUCUUACUUACCCCCCCCCCCCCGUAGUACUGGGCAAAGUUCUACUGGUUAAAGAUUGGGGUGGAGGGCUGGAAAAGAAGUAGUUGGCUUAUCUUUGCCACCCAGGAUCAAAAGCUCAGGCCCCUCCCACUCCGGAGCCUUUACAAGUCUAGACUUAUCCGAAAGGAUGGCACGGAGCAAGGAAGGAUCUAAGUUUGAGUCACCUCUGGGCCGGGCCAAGUGUGGGCGGGUGCUGCCCUUAGCUAAGCUCCCGAUGCUGGUUACUACCUCUGCGCGCUCCUCUCAAGCGGCAGCGGCAGCGGGGAGUUCUCACCCCAUCCUAACAGUGACCAAAUCUCACGGGGGCCCCUACCGUGAGCCACUGACUGUCCCGCUGGAAACUAGUGUGUGUAAGCCCCUGCUCACCCCACAACCCAACCCGAGCUAAGGGUCGAGAGCAGGCCGGAUGCAGGCAAGCAGUGGCCUUUCUCACCUAUUGGAUCGGAAGGUUAGUCCCCUGACUCUGGGGUCCGGUUAAAUGUCGAGCGACACUCAAAACCAAACAAGUCUCUCCGUCUCGCAGGUUUCUCCGUCCAUACUCUGUCGCAGAAGCGGGAGACAGACAACUGCCAGCAACGCGCUACUCCAGUGUCUCCAGCCUCAGGCCGGAGCCCAGACCAGCCGCGUCCCUCCCUCCUCCCUCUAGGGUCCUGUGAGGGUGUCCAGCACGCUCCGCCCAGUCCUGGCCCGGGCCAGUCGCCAGGCACUGCGAUCACCCCCGACCCACCAAUCCUAUCCCUUCCCCUCGCGGCUUGAAGGACCUCCGGAGGUGAGAGAGAGGAGGGCUGCCAGCAGGCGUUGCUGGAGGAACCCGGAGAAAAGUUUGGAGCCAAGUAGGGGGAAAACGGUGGACAGCAGGGGAGCAGGGAGUCGGGACAGCCCAGGUCCUAGCGCGCGCACAUGCCCCACGGACACCCAACCCAGACACGUCGACAGGCACAGACCACGUAAGCGGACACACGCGGAGAGCCCACCGACCCCCACGACCAAACGCCAGGCUGUGAAAAACGGGGACACCGGCGCGAGACAGCCAUGCAAAGCCACGCACACACAAAGGCACAAGCAGAUGCUGGUUUCUGAACCCAAAUCCAUAAAAGACCCACUACCGUGAGAUGCACGUGUUCCUGCAAAGACCCUGGAGGCGCUGGUCCACGCCCAUGGCCCCCAGGCAGAGCCUUUGUCUCCUGAAAGCCCUCUCCCCUACUCCCCCCACCCUGCGCUGCUGUGGCCGGGUGUCCCGGAAAAGUUGAGGGGCCUCGGCGGGACCCGGACCCGCCCCUCGCGCCAGCCGGUCCACGGGAUGGGGCGGCGAGGUUGGACUCAAAGGCUCCAGAUCUCCGCAUGCACGCCGAUCUCUUUGCGCCUCGGGACAGCACCCACCUGGCAGGUCCACAGCUGUCGCCUCGGCACGCUCACCUAGGCGGCCCGGCGCUGGCCGGUGGGCCGGCGCUUUUCUCCGCGCCUCACGUCCCGCCCCAAGUCCCCGCCCGCCGCCGGGCUCCCCUUGCCGGGCACCCAGUGACUGCUGCGGCUCUCGGCCAAGAGGCUCAGGGAGCGUCGUCAAAGUGCAAGUUUAGUGGGGCGGUCUGGCAGCCCAGCCCCCGCCCGCCGGCGGAGCACGGGUUCCACCCUAGGGAGCGUCUCAAAAGUGCUCGGUUCCCUCCCACUACACUAGGCCUCUCUUCCAGCUUCCUGCAACCCGGAUCCCUGCCCCCUCUGCCUUCCCACUUUGCACGUCCCAGUAAUCUCAGCAGAUGGCCGCUGGGUCGAGAACAUCUGGAGGUCACCGGGGAGGGGUGUGUGUGUGUGUGUGUGUGUGUGUGUGUGUGUGUGUGUGUGUGUGUGUGUGUGUGUAGAGCGAGUCAGAGUUAGUUAGAAUGGGUGGAUAAGGGUUUUCUCUCAAAGUCUCUACCAUCCCAUUUGAAAAAAAGUUUUAAAAGGGGUCUAGAGUCAUUAAUGUAUGUGUUUGAGAGACAGACCGACAGACAGACAGAAGGGAGAGAGAGCUUAAGCAGAAAGUUGGCAGACAGCAAGUGACAGAGAGAGCAACAGACAUAACAGACUUAUUUUUUCUUUCCUGGAGGGAAAGUCAACUCCUGGCUGCAUUUCCAAGAAGGGAAACUGCUCUGUCGUAGCAGCUUAAGUCUUCCCCUCCUUCUGCAGCCCAUCCUCUCCAGCCGAAAUUUAUCCAAGAAUAUACAUACAUACAUACACACACACACACAUACACAUACGUACAUACUCACAAUCCCAACCUCCAGAGGGAGCAUUUCCCAAUAAAGGGUUAGUGGGAGGUUUGGUAUUGGUUCUGGACCUCCCAGGAACUUGCCUCUUUGGAAAGGGUCCCUAGGUGGGGGAAAUCCAGCAACGUUCCCCUGCCAUGGCCCAGGCUUGUUGCAUCCAACCUUUUUGUUUCUUUCUUCCUUAUUUAAAAACAAAAUCUUUGCUUGGGCUUGUGUGUGUGUGUGGCUGAGGAAAAGAGAGUUCUUGGUCUGUAAAAUCAAACUCAUACUCAGAAGAAUAUGGUUGUUAAGACCCUUUCCUUGCUCACAGCCAUAGAGAAACCCUGGGGUCUCACCUGGGCUGAACCCUGCUAGUUAAGGGGAGGGGGCAGUGGUCCCUGUCUGUAAGCUUCCCUGUUACCCCAGUUCUGGGGAGACAGAGGUAGAACAACUCCAUUUUUAGACAGUCUAGCUACAGAGUGAGACUCUCUCAAAGAGCCAAAAGAAGAAAAGAAAAAAGAAUCCCAUCCUCUGGGCUUGGAAAUAAGAGGUCUCGGGGGAUAUUCUCACUGUGGCCUCCUCAUCUGAGACUGCAUUCAUGUGGGCAAGGUCACCCUUCCAGAUGGGCUGCAGGAACCUGCUGAAAGUCUGAACUCCUAUAGAGUGGGGAUACAAGGGAAAUGGUGCAGGGCUGGCGAAAGAAUUCACAGUUAGAUCAAAGUAGAAAAAAAAGUUUACUGAACACACUGGGAAAAUUCAGGGGGGGCCAAAAAAAGAACCACCUGUCUGCAGUUACUCUCUUUCUUUUUAAAAAAUUAAAAUUAUAUUUAUUUCUUUGUGCGGGGGUGUAAUAUACCUAUAUGUGUGGAGGUCAGAGGACAGCUCGUGGGGUGUCAGUCUCUCCUUCCGCCAUGUAGGUUCCAGGGAUGAAACUUAGGUCACCAGGUUUGAGGGAAAAUUCCUUUACUCGUUGAGCCAUCUAGCUUCCUUGACUAGGAUGACCCGCCAUACAAUUCCCAUCAUUCUGUUCCUACCAUCCAAACGAUAACAGUUCUGAUUGCUCAGUGUUCGAUGCCAGGAGGAGGCUGACUUUAGAGAGAGCAGCUCUGUGGCCUUCUGUCAAGGUUAAUUGUGAUUGUCCACGUUCACUUGGUGGGAAAGAGUCUGGUUUAGGGCUUUAAUUAUCUUGAUGAUCAUUAAUGGGUUGGUGGUUGGUUCCUGAGAUGUAACAUACUAGGCAAGAUAAUGUGUCUCAGGGCCUAAUAAACAUUUAUCUGAAGGAAUGGCCUCUUCUACAUAGGACUUUAAAUGUGCCUGAGAUGUUCAGGAGUGAUAGGAGACCUUAGGAAUGCCACCGGGAGGAGAGUUAGCAAGGACUGUUGAGUUUCUUGUAUUAAAUUAUUAAGGAGCCUCUA